UGGCAGCGUUCCUCUUUCCCAGGCC
rnacentral:misc_RNA from 1 species